GAUGAACGCUGGCGGCGUGCCUAAUACAUGCAAGUCGAACGCAUUGUGGUUGAAAUGAUAUGAAGAACUUGUUCAGAUUUGAUUUUCAACAUUGCAAUGAGUGGCGAACGGGUGAGUAACACGUGGGAAACCUACCUCUUAGCAGGGGAUAACAUUUGGAAACAAAUGCUAAUACCGUAUAAUAAUUAAACCGCAUGGUUUUAGUUUAAAAGAUGGUCUUGCUAUCACUAAGAGAUGGUCCCGCGGUGUAUUAGUUAGUUGGUGAGGUAAUGGCUCACCAAGACAAUGAUACAUAGCCGAGUUGAGAGACUGACCGGCCACAAUGGGACUGAGACACGGCCCAUACUCCUACGGGAGGCAGCAGUAGGGAAGUCUUCACAAUGGACGGAAAGUACUGAUGGAGCAACGCCGCGUGUGUGA
rnacentral:rRNA from 1 species